GAUGAACGCUAGCGGGAGGCCUAACACAUGCAAGCCGAGCGGUAGAGAUUCUUCGGAAUCUUGAGAGCGGCGUACGGGUGCGUAACACGUGUGCAACCUGCCUUUAUCUGGGAGAUAGCCUUUCGAAAGGAAGAUUAAUAUCCCAUAAUAUAUUGAUUGGCAUCGAUUGAUAUUGAAAGCUCCGGCGGAUAAAGAUGGGCACGCGCAAGAUUAGAUAGUUGGUGAGGUAACGGCUCACCAAGUCGAUGAUCUUUAGGGGGCCUGAGAGGGUGAUCCCCCACACUGGUACUGAGACACGGACCAGACUCCUACGGGAGGCAGCAGUGAGGAAUAUUGGACAAUGGGUGGAAGCCUGAUCCAGCCAUCCCGCGUGAAGGAAUAAGGGCCUAUGGCUUGUAAACUUCUUUUGUACAGGGAUAAACCUACCCUCGUGAGGGUAGCUGAAGGUACUGUACGAAUAAGCACCGGCUAACUCCGUGCCAGCAGCCGCGGUAAUACGGAGGGUGCAAGCGUUAUCCGGAUUUAUUGGGUUUAAAGGGUCCGUAGGCGGGCUUAUAAGUCAGUGGUGAAAGCCGGCAGCUUAACUGUCGAACUGCCAUUGAUACUGUAAGUCUUGAGUAUAUUUGAGGUAGCUGGAAUAAGUAGUGUAGCGGUGAAUGCAUAUAUAUU
rnacentral:rRNA from 1 species